rnacentral:rRNA from 1 species
CACGUAAGGGGCAAGCGUUGUUCGGAAUUAUUGGGCGUAAAGGGUACGUAGGCGGUUCUGUAAGCCCGGCGUGAAAUCCCACAGCUUAACUGUGGAGCUGCGCUGGGAACUGCAGGACUUGAGUCAUGGAAGGGGAGUUGGAAUUCCAGGUGUAGGGGUGAAAUCUGUAGAUAUCUGGAAGAACACCGGUGGCGAAGGCGAACUCCUGGCCGAUGACUGACGCUGAGGUACGAAAGCGUGGGGAGCAAACAGG